rnacentral:rRNA from 1 species
UGGGGAAUAUUGGACAAUGGGGGGAACCCUGAUCCAGCCAUGCCGCGUGUGUGAAGAAGGCCUUAUGGUUGUAAAGCACUUUAAGCGAGGAGGAGGGUACUGGUAUUAAUACUACCAGGUACUGGACGUUACUCGCAGAAUAAGCACCGGCUAACUCUGUGCCAGCAGCCGCGGUAAUACAGAGGGUGCGAGCGUUAAUCGGAUUUACUGGGCGUAAAGCGUGCGUAGGCGGCUAAUUGAGUCGGAUGUGAAAUCCCCGAGCUUAACUUGGGAAUUGCAUUCGAUACUGGUUAGCUAGGGGGUGGGAGAGGAUGGUAGAAUUCCAGGUGUAGCGGUGAAAUGCGUAGAGAUCUGGAGGAAUACCGAUGGCGAAGGCAGCCAUCUGGCCUAACACUGACGCUGAGGUACGAAAGCAUGGGGAGCAAACAGG